rnacentral:misc_RNA from 1 species
GAUGAAGAACGUAGCGAAAUGCGAUAAGUAAUGUGAAUUGCAGAAUUCAGUGAAUCAUCGAAUCUUUGAACGCACCUUGCGCCCCUUGGUUAUUCCAAAGGGCAUGCCUGUUUGAGUAUCAUGGACACCUCAACUCUUGUGGUUUCCCACAAUGAGCUUGGACUGUGGAGGUUUUGUUGGCCCUGUGGUCAGCUCCUCUCAAAUGGAUCAGCUUACCGGUGUUUGGUGGCAUUACGGGUGUGAUAACUAUCUACGCUCGUGGUCGUCUCCAAAUAACCUCCAGUGAUGGAGGUUCGCUGGAGCUUAUAAAUGUCUCUCCCCAGUGAAGACAGCCUUUGAACGUUCGAUCUCAAAUCAGGUAGGACUACCCGCUGAACUUAAGCAUAUCAAUAAGCGGAGGA